UAACUGUAGACAUGCUGAAGAUAUUGGCGUAAAGUGCUUAAAUUGUUCAUAUGGUGAUCUUCGUCUCAUUAAUGGUACUUUUCCUAAUGAAGGACGUGUAGAAAUUUGCAUUGACAAUACCUGGGGAACUGUUUGUGAUAGAAAUUGGACUGAUGCUAGUGCUGAUGUUGUAUGUAAACAAUUAGGAUACAAUACUACUGGUAUGCAUCUCUGUAUACAAUAAUUUGCGUGUCUUGUUUCCCUUUCCUCCUCUAAUUAAGGUGAUGUUUACUCAUUUUUUGGUGGAGGAAAUGGGGAUAUAUUUGUGAAUGGUGUGAAUUGCAUUGGGUUUGAGAAUACUUUACUUCAAUGCGAACACAACUUGACUAGCUUGAGUCAAGGCACUGAUUGCACUCAUCAAGAUGCUGUUGGUGUAAUAUGUUUGUUAUCAGUUUGUUAUGAUGGUCAGCUACGCCUAGUCAAUGGAAGAGUUCCCAAUGAAGGACGUCUAGAGAUAUGCUAUAACAAUACUUGGGGGACAGUUUGUGAUUAUGGAUGGACUAAUAUUAUGGCUGAUUUUGCAUGUGGACUGUUAGGAUAUUCUAAUACAGGUAUAAUAAUAAUAAUAAUAAUUUUCCUUAAAUGACAUUUAAAUAUCAUAUUUUUUGAUUUAUAAUUAAGA